GAGGUUACCUCUUUACGAGAAUAUGUAUACGCACGAGCCAACUUUGAAUAAAUAUUACCGGAUUCAGCGGCAAACUGAUGGUACAUAAAAGCUUUGGCGCCAUUACGCGGCCUAGCCAUCCCCAAAUUGUACAAAAACCCUAACAACGACUGCAUGUCAGAGUUACCGGCUGCAGCAAUCGAUUCAAUAUCUGAAGCAACAUCCUCCAUUGCUCUACCACCAUCGCUGACGGAAUCCACCAAUUUCCUCACGCUCGAGUAGUACUCCUCGUUAAUUGAAUCGGAAUUGGAGUCGUCAGGUUCGAAAAUAGGGCGCCAGGAUCCGGAAUUGAGCUCGUCGUAAGACCUAGAGUCCGGUUCGUCCCAAUCGGCGAUGGAAGAUGAAUCAUCGAUAGGUCCGUUGUUGAGAUCGUGUUGAGAGAGGGCGAGGAUGAAUGGCCGGUCGGUUACGGUUAUUGAGAGGAGGAGGGAGCAUAGAAGGAAGGCAGUCAGGUGGCUGGCGCACGGUGGUUUAUGACGGCUGCUUCGCAUUUCUCCGGUAGCUUGUAUCUUACGAAAUGUAAUAAGUCAAGUAGUCAACGAUGAGUUCACACAACGUUUUGAAAAUGGAUUGGUUACGAGUUCUGAUUUAGUCAAUUCUAAAAAUUCUAAAAAUAUCUAUCAGUUGACGGAGAAAAACGGAGUGACGGAAGGAUAAGUUGACGGAGAAGUCGGCCGUCAAGGACACGUGGAAUCACGGAGACCAAUAGGUUCUGGGUUCGAAUCUCACAAGAAGGUUUUUCUAUAUUUACUGGGUUUUCUCCUGAAUUGGAUGGUCGUUAGUGAUCCAAUAUUUUAAUAAUCAAUUUGGUUGCUCUAUCGUUUGAUGGGGUGCUUAAAAUUAGUUGAAGUCAUCGGAGACGAACUUGGAAAAGUUACGGUAAGUGGUAACCGAAGUGGUCAUUUAACAAUUAUUUUUUAGAUUUUUUGAAAUAUGUAAUCAGGGCUGGCUUUGGGCCUGUGCGAGAGGUGCCACCGCACAGGGCCCAAAGCAUCUAGGGGCCCAAUAUUGUUUAAAAAAUCUAUAUGAGUUUAAUAUAUAAAUUUGAUGUAGAAAAUUAAUAUACAAGUUCCCCCUCUGGCUUAAUGGAUGCUGGAGUGAUGUGAUGAACUGACCAUUACAAGUUCGAUUCCCAUCAUGAUGUCCUUUUUUUCUAAAUUUUCUUUUGUUUUCUAGGCUUAUUAAUUGGGGGAAACUGAUACCAACAUUUUGCAAGCUGAUCUUUUAGUUUUAGUUAGCUUAUUUUUUAGUUUUAGUUUUGAUUUUUCACUUUUAAAUUUAGGCCUUCAUAAAGUUGUAAUUUCUUUGAUUUUUUUUUCUUCUAUUUAACAAUUUACGAAAAAAACUUUACAUGUUUACUUGUUUAAAUUUAUAGGUUUU
rnacentral:lncRNA from 1 species